AACGCACCUUGCGCCCUUUGGUAUUCCGAAGGGCAUGCCUGUUUGAGUGUCAUUACAUUCUCAACCUUGAAAAGCUUUAUUGUUCUUCAAGGCUUGGAUCUGGGGGUUGCAGGCUUUUUCAAAGUCGGCUCCUCUGAAAUGCAUUAGCUGGGUUUGCGCCUUCAGCCUAUUGGUGUGAUAAUUAUCUACGCCUCUUGUGUUGUUAGCGUGUUUUACUUUCCAGCUUCAAACCGUCCUUUAUUGGACAAUAUUUUGACUAUUUGACCUCAAAUCAGGUAGGACUACCCGCUGAACUUAA
rnacentral:misc_RNA from 1 species